UACGCCCACAUCACGUUGCAACGCCGAUUCUUGUACGAUCACUGAAGUUAAGCAAAGUCGAGCCUGGUUAGUACAUAGAUGGGCGACCGCUUAGGAAUAGAAGGUGCU